rnacentral:rRNA from 1 species
GACGAACGCUGGCGGCGUCUUAACCCAUGCAAGUCGAACGGAAAGGCCCAGCUUGCUGGGUGCUCGAGUGGCGAACGGGUGAGUAACACGUGGGUGAUCUGCCCCUAACUUCGGGAUAAGCUUGGGAAACUGGGUCUAAUACCGGAUAGGACAAUCGUUUAGUGUCGGUUGUGGAAAGUUUUUUCGGUUAGGGAUGAGCCCGCGGCCUAUCAGCUUGUUGGUGGGGUAAUGGCCUACCAAGGCGUCGACGGGUAGCCGGCCUGAGAGGGUGGACGGCCACAUUGGGACUGAGAUACGGCCCAGACUCCUACGGGAGGCAGCAGUGGGGAAUAUUGCACAAUGGGCGCAAGCCUGAUGCAGCGACGCCGCGUGGGGGAUGACGGCCUUCGGGUUGUAAACCUCUUUCGACAGGGACGAAGCUUUGGUGACGGUACCUGUAUAAGAAGCACCGGCUAACUACGUG